GACGAACCGUGCGAACGUUGUUCGGAAUCACUGGGCUUAAAGGGCGCGUAGGCGGGUUCGCAAGUCUGUGGUGAAAGCCUCCAGCUUAACUGGAGAAGUGCCAUGGAUACUGCGCAUCUUGAGGAGGGUAGGGGCGUCUGGAACGGUCGGUGGAGCGGUGAAAUGCGUUGAUAUCGACCGGAACUCCGGUGGCGAAGGCGAGGCGCUGGACCCUUUCUGACGCUGAGGCGCGAAAAGCCAGGGGAGCAAACGGGG
rnacentral:rRNA from 1 species